rnacentral:SRP_RNA from 1 species
GUGGGGUUUGGUGGCACACACCUGUGGCCCCAGCUACUCAGAAAGCUGACGCAGGAGGAAAGCUUGAGCCCAGGAACUCUGGGCUGUGCAGGUUGGGUAUCCCCACUAAAUUCGGCAUCAGUAUGGUGACCUCCUGGGAGUGGCGGAACAUCAGGUUGCCUAAGGAGGGGUAAACAGGACCAGGAUGGAAAUGAAGCGGCAUAAAACUCCAUGCUGAUUAUAAUGGGAUCAUGCCUGUGGGGACCCACUGCACUACAGAUGGAGCAGCAUAGUGAGACCUGUGUCU